CCCUGGAUGGAGGCCCCAGCCUGGGGCGUGGUGCCCAGAGGCCAGAGGUUUUACAGACUUCUACCUGUGAGGAACUGUCUGUUGAUUCUGAGAAACCUCACACUGUGCUCCUGGGGAGCCAGGGGAGUUCCUGCCAGACCUGGCAUGACUGGGAGUCUCCCAGGGCCAGAUGCAGGGUAGAAAGGGAGGUGCACACGGAGAGGAAGGGAGCCCGGACACAGUCCUAGAAGCAGAGGACCCUGCCCCCCUGUCACCAGCCAUCCCCGCCUUCCAGCCCAAGCAGAGCUGUCAUGAGGAGCCAGUGUGAGAGGGACACUGGGACAUGCUGAAAGGGCUCCCAGAGAGAUGUGGGAAGCGAGCUGGAAGGCCUGGGAAGAGAGUUUGCCCUUUAAUCCCAGAUUACGGAGGCUGCCUGCC